GUAGGUGAACCUGCAGAAGGAUCAUUACGCGUUAUUUUUUUAUAAACCUUGCACACAUUCACACACACACACACACACUACACGUGAGUUUAUAAAUUCUAUAACCACACUUUUGUCGCGUAAGUAUGAAUUCACUUUUUUACGCGCGCGGCAAACACACAAUCUCGAAACAAGAUAUGCCUGCAGACUUGAUCUGUAGGAUACACCUUUCAUCUAGAUCACAUAAUUCAACUCAGCUCUGCGGAGUCUAACACACGCAUAAUUUUAAUUAUGUAGACAUAUUACACACAUUUUCUCAUACUGCAUGAGCGAUGGAUCUCUUGGUUCCUUGCAUCGUUGAAGGUCGCAG
rnacentral:misc_RNA from 1 species